GUCGGGUCAUAUUUAUUACUACUGUUUCUUGCAAAGUUGAGAUGUAAAUUACAUAUCAUAAAAUUCACUUUUUAAACUGUUCAGCUCAGUGACUUACCAUAUCCACAAGACUGCAAACUUCACCACUGUCUAACUGUAGAACACUCCAGAAUAAUGGAUAUUUGGGCUAUUUAUGUAUUUUGGCGGUGAUAACAUGCACGCCAGGCCUUAGAUAUUCUGGAUAUUAGACCUAAUUAGAUACAUGGUUUGCAGAUAUUUUUCCUGUUCUCUAGGCUUUCUUUUCACUGUUUCCGAUACUAUUUCUUUGAUGUGCAGAUUUUGAAAUUUUCAUGCAGUAUAAUUUUUCUAUUUUUCCUUUGGUUACUUGUCAUUUUAAUACUGUGUCUAAGAAAUUAUUGCCUAGUCCAAAGUCAUUGUGAUGGUUAGUUUUGUGUCAACUUUGCUAGGUUGCAGUGACUAAAUCAAACACUAACCUGGGUCCUUUGGAGGUGUUUAGUAGAGGACCUUAUCCUUAACAACGUGAUGAACCCACCUCCGGUCUCCCGAAGGCCUCGAGUAAAAACAGGUUUCCUGGAGGAGAGGUUCUGCUUCAGGAUUGUCGUGUUGAGUGCUGCCUGAAUUGCCAGCCUGUCCCCGCAGUCACUUAGGCCAGUUCCUUAAAAUAAAUCUAUCUCUAUGCCUGUCUCUCUCUUCUUUAUCUGUCUGCCAUUUAUCUGUAUUGUUGUGUUCUAACUGAUACAGUAAUAGAAAUUUACAUCUAUAUUUUCUAAGAAUUUAUUCUUGUAGCUUUUACAUUUAGGCUUUUGGUCUGUUUUGAGUUUUUGCAUAUGGUGUGAGGGAGGGGUCUAGAUUCAUUCUUUUUUUUUUAUUUUUUCUUUUUUAAAUUUUAAAAUCUUUAAUUCUUACAUGCAUUCUCAAACAUGAACCCCCCUCCCACCUCCCUCCCCAUAACAUCUUUCUGGGUCAUCCCCAUGCACCAGCCCCAAGCAUGCUGCAUCCUGCGUCA
ensembl:lncRNA